rnacentral:hammerhead_ribozyme from 1 species
GCACUGCUGACGAGUCCCAAACAGGAUGAAACAGCCAUCCAGUGC